rnacentral:snRNA from 1 species
GGAUGUCAGGGGCAUCUGGCUGUGACAUCUGUCACCCCAUUGACUUCCAGGGUUUAUUUGGCUGAUCUGGCUGGCUAGGCAGGUGUGCCCUUCCUCCCUUAAUGCUCCAUGUGCGUCCCUCCCGAAGCUGUGUGCUGGGUGGAAGAGGAUGACCACCCCCGAUAGAGGAGAACCAUUCCUCGGUCAAGGGUAUACAAGUAGGGCACUCUCCUGCUAGACCUCCAAACAAGCUCCCAAGUGCUGGGUUUACAGGUAUGCCCCACAGGCCCAGCUUUGGGAGGACAUUUUUGAUCCAAAUCAU